AGGCAGCAGUGCAGCAUAGUGGACUAUGGGACAAAGCGUGCAACAGUAAUCCAGCCAGAGGGAGGAAGUCAUGAAGGCCUUAAACUUGUAAUGGUAGUUAAGAAGUGAAAAUAACGGUACUAGCAGAAGAAGAACCGCCGAAUUACUUGCCAGCAGCAGCGGUAAUAAUUAGAAGGCGAGCAUUGUCGGUAAUAAUCAGGGGUAAAAAAGUGCUAGUAGGUGGAUCGUUUAGUCAGUGAAAAAAUCAGGGUGAUCAUCUCCCGAACAGUCGGUAAUAGCAGAGAUGAGUACUUUAGGAGAGAUUGGAAUACCUGGUAUAGUAGAGGAAAAAUUAGAAAUUAUUAGGAACAACGACGGUGAAGAAGGAUGUCAGGUCGGUAAAUAACGAUGAGGAGGGAAAACAUGGGGAGGAACCAACAUGAUAUGACAUCGUAGUACUUCCCGCAAGUAAAUGAGAAGAUAGAAGUGGGGGGCAGUUCUCCGUCUCAGUGUCGCAGCUAACGCAUUAAGCUUCCCGCCUGGGGAGUACGGUCGCAAGAUUAAAACUCAAAUGAAUUGACGG
rnacentral:rRNA from 1 species